rnacentral:tRNA from 1 species
GUGUGGCUCAGUUGGUAGAGCUCUUGCCCAGCAUGCAAGGAACCUGGGUUUAGUCCCCAGCAC